AACGACUCUCGGCAACGGAUAUCUCGGCUCUCGCAUCGAUGAAGAACGCAGCGAAAUGCGAUACUUGGUGUGAAUUGCAGAAUCCCGCGAACCAUCGAGUUUUUGAACGCAAGUUGCGCCCAAAGCCGUCAGGCCGAGGGCACGUCUGCCUGGGUGUCACGC
rnacentral:rRNA from 8 species